CAUGCGAGACUGCCCUGGUUAACAGGGAGGAAGGCGGGGAUGACGUCAAGUCAGCAUGGCCCUUACACCUUGGGCUACACACGUGUUACAAUGGCCGGUACAAUAAGUCGCAAUACCGCAAGGUGGAGCUAAUCUAUGAAAACCGGUCCCAGUUCGGAUUGGGGGCUGCAACUCGCCCCCAUGAAGUUGGAAUCGCUAGUAACCGUAAAUCAGCAUGUUACGGUGAAUACGUUCCCGGGUCUU
rnacentral:rRNA from 1 species